GAUGAACGCUAGCUACAGGCUUAACACAUGCAAGUCGAGGGGCAGCGCAGUGUAGCAAUACAUGGGCGGCGACCGGCGCACGGGUGCGUAACGCGUAUCCAACCUUCCCGUUACUCAGGGAUAGCCUUCCGAAAGGGAGAUUAAAUACCUGAUGGUGUUCAAAUUCCGCAUGUUAUUUGAACUAAAGAUUUAUCGGCAACGGAUGGGGAUGCGUGACAUUAGGUAGAUGGCGGGGUAACGGCCACCAUGCCUACGAUGUCUAGGGGUUCUGAGAGGAAGGUCCCCCANACUGGAACUGAGACACGGUCCAGACUCCUACGGGAGCAGCAGUGAGGAAUAUUGGUCAAUGGUCGGAAGACUGAACCAGCCAAGUAGCGUGAAGGAUGAAGGUUC
rnacentral:rRNA from 1 species